rnacentral:lncRNA from 1 species
UAUCUUCAGUCCUCAAGAGAAAUGGGGGAUUGUUAAAAGGAAGCUUUCAGUGGUAGUUGUCAGCCUCCAUUCAAUAUAUUCUGGCAUUUGAGGGAAAUUGUUGUUUAACUCUGAGGCUCACUUUGCUCAUCUAUAAGAUGCAAUAAUAUUAGUAUCUAUUUCAUAGUGCUAUUGUAUGGAUUGAAAAGAAAAAGUACAUAAGACCCUUGGCACAGUGCCUGGCAGCACACUAUAAGCAUUGUUUCCAUAAAUGUUAGGCAUAACCACUACCAUUCCCACUACCAUUACCACCAUCAUUCUCAUCAAGACAAAGAGUGAAUGGUAAAGAGCCCAGUCUUUGGAGCCCGACAAAGUUAGUUUGAAUCCUUUGCCACUUUGUAGCUAGGUGGCUUUGGAUAAAUAACAACUUCUUUGAACCUCAUUCUUAUUCUGUAAAAUGAGAAAUUCAUAAGGCUAGUCAAAGCAUUUAACAGGCUUCUGAGCUCACAGUAAGCAAUUCAAUAAAGGUUGGCAUUUAUAAUUAUUAAAAAGGUAUAAUCAAGGUCAGUGGUUGUCAGGCAUUGGGGGAAGGGAGGGAUGAGUCGAAUAAGCACAGGAUUUUCAAUAUCCAUAGAAUAUACAAUACCAAGAGUAAACCCUAAUGUAAACUAUGGGCUUUGAAUGGUAUUAAUGUGACAAUGUAGGUUCACCAGUUGGGGCAAAGGUAUUACUCUGGUGUGGAAUGUUGAUAGUAGGGGACAUUGUAUGUGGGAACAGAGGGCAUGUGGGAACUCUGUAUUUUCUGUUCAAUUUUGCUGGGUCCUUAAGACUGCUCUAAAGAAAUAGUCUGUUUUAGAGGAAAGGGGUGAAAAGGGGGUGACUAAAGUAGAUUGUUAUAAAUGUAGGUUGUUAACUGUAUUCUUCAUGAUAAUCACUAAGAAAAUAACUAAAAAUAUAGAAAAGAGAAAAUGUCAAAGGAAUAAAAAAAGUGUACUACAAAAAGUACAUCAAACCAAGAACAAGGCCGUAUUGGAGGAAUUGAGAAACAAAAAAGAUCUAAGAUAUAGAAAACAAAUGGCACAAAGACACAAGUAAGUCCUUAAUUAUUAGUAGUCCCUUUAAAUAUGAGUCAAUUAAACUCAUUAAUUAAAGACAAGAUAUUGGCAGAAUAGAUUAAAAAAACAUAAUCCAACUAAUAUGCUGCUUAUAGUUACUCGCUUUAGACUAAAGUCAUGAAUAGGUUUUAAAAGAAUCAGUGAUUCAGUAAUGCCAAAAAUAAAAACAAGUAACAAUGGCUCAAAGAAGAAAUCAGUAGGAGAAUUAGAAAAUGCUUUAAGAUGAAUGAAAAUAAAAAUACAACAUACCAAAAUGUAUAGGAUGAUGUGAAAGCAGUAGUCAGAGGGAAGUUUAAAACUUGAAACGUCUACAUUAAAAAAGAAGAAUGAUCUGAAAUCAAUACCCUAAAUUUACACCUAAGGGGUAAGGAAAAAAAAGCAAACUACAUUCUGGUAGAGGAAAGGAAAAAAUAAAGAUUACAGCAGAGAUGGAUUAAAUAGACAGUAGGGAAGCAGAAUCAAUGCAACCAAUACAGUGUUACCUCAGUUCAUGAACUAGAUUCUUUCCACAAUUCUAGUUGCAAACUGAGUUGGAUGAGAAGCAAAUCAAAUUCAAUGGUUAGGUUCAAUGUUGAUCUUAUGGAGAAAUUUCAUUUCGUUCUUGUCCAGUUCAGUUUGCGGCCAGAUUCGUGGAGAGAAUUGAGUUUUUAAGCCAAGGUGCCACUGUAUUUGGUUCUUUGAAAAGAUAAACAAAAUUGACAAAUUUUUAAUUAGAAUGAUUAAGAAAAAAAAGACAUAAGUAAAAUCAGAAAUGAAAGCAGAGACUUUACACCAACCAUACAAAAAUUAAAAGGAGUAAAAGAAUACUAUAAAACAUUAUAUGCCAACAAAUUAGAUAAUCUUGAAUUCCUAGAAACACAAAAAUUACAAAAGCUGACUCAAGAAGAAACAGAAAAGCUGAACAGACCUACAACAAGUAAGGAGAUUGAAUCAGUAAUCAAAAACCUUUAAUUAAAAAAAAAACUUUCAACUGAAAAAGCCCGGGACCAAAUGGUUUCAACAGUGAAUUCUAUUAAACAUUUAAGGAAAAAUUAGCACAGAUACUCUCAAAUACUUUUUAAAAAUAGAGGGAACACUUCUGACACAUUCUGUGGGGCCAGCACUACUGUAAAACUAAGGCCAAAGACACCACAAGGAGGAAAAAAAAACCCCCACAAACCAGUAUCGCUUUUAUGAAUGUAAAUAUAAAAGUCCUCAACAAAAUACUAGAAAACCAAAUCCUAUAGUAUAUUAAAAGAACUAUAUCUACCAUGACCAAGUGGGACUUAUCCUGGAAAUUCAUUGGUGGUUUGAUAUACGUGAAUAAACCAAUGCACUGCACCACAUUAACAGAACAAGGAGAAAACAUGAUCAUCUUGACAGAUGUAGAAAAAGCAUUUGACAAGAGUCAGCACUCAUUCAUAAUUUAAAAUAAUUAAAGCAAAUUAUGAAUAGAAGGCAAAGUCCUUAUCAUGAUAAAGGGUAUUUAUGAAAAACACACAGCUAACAUAUACCAAUAGUGAAAGACUGAAAGUUUUGCUCCUAAGUUUAGGAGCAAAACCAGAAUGUUCACAUUCACCUCUUCUGUUCAGUAUUGUAUUGGAAAAUCCUAGCAAGAGCAGUUAAGCAAGAGAAAGAACAGGCAUCUAAAUUAGAAAAGAAGAAAACCACAUCUAUUUGUAUACACAUGAAUAUAUGUGAAUAUACAGUAAUGCUUCACUUCACAAACACACCCAAUAGCAAACAAUUCAGUUCACAAAAGCGCUCGGCAAAAUUUUGCUUCCCUUUGCAAACUCCUCAUUAGGUGACAAACAUGAGCACGGCCAUCUUCCCCACACAAACACAGCUAUCUUCCCCAAAAUCAUAAAACAAAUUAAGUUUGUAAACCGAGGUACCACUGUAUAUAUUCCCAAUAAAUAUAUAUGCACACAACUACUAAAGUCAAUAAAUGAAUUCAAUAAAAUAAUUAAAGGAUAUAUAAGAUCAACACAAAAGAAGCGGUUGUGUUUCUGUAUGCCAGUAAUGAACAAUUUGAAAAUGAAGAAAACAAUCACAUUUACAAUAAUAUCCCAAAGAAUAAAAUAGCUAGGAGUACAUUUAAUUAAGGAGGUCAAUAGCUUAUACACUGAAAACUACAAAAUAUGCUGAAAGAAAUUAAAAAUCUAAAGGGAAAGUUAUCCUUUGUUCAUUAAUUGAAAAGUACCAUUAAGGUAGCAGUCAUCUACAAAGCUAUCUACAGAUUCAGUGCAAUCCUUAUCAAAAUUCCACUGGUUUUUUUUUCCCAUGAUGAAAAAGCUAAUCCUCCACUUCAUAAGUAAGCUCAAGGGUCUUGAAUAGCCAGACUCGUACCUCUUCGUUUUGAAACUUACUACAAACCAACAAUAAUCGAGGUACUGGCACAGGAUCAGAUAUAUAGACCAAUGGAAUACAAUAGAGAAUCCAGAAAUAAACCCAAAUUUUUAUGAUCCAUUGAUUUUUUUCAGCAAGGGUGCCAAGACCAUUCAAUGGGGGAAAGAAUUGUGUUGGGACCACUGUAUAAUCACAUGCAAAAGAAUGAAGUUGAACCCCUGCAUCAUGGUUCAUACACAAAUUACCUCUGAAUAUUUCACAGACCUAAUACAAUGGCUAAAACUACAAAACUAUUAGAAGAAAACAGAGGUAAAUUUUCAUGAUCUCAGAUCUGGCAGUGGAUUCUUAGAUUCAAUGGCUAAAAUGGCUAAAGGACAAGCAACAAUAUAAAAAACAGAUAAAUUGUACUUCAUGAAAAAAGAACUUUUGUCUAUAGAAGGGUAUUGUCAACACAAAAAAGACAAGCUACAGAAUGGGAGAAAAUAUUGCAACUCAUGUAUAAUGGUUUAAUAUUCUGAAUAUAUGAAAAACUCUUACAACUCAACAGCAAAAAAGCAAUCAAAUUAAAAACUAGGCAAAGUCCAUGAAUAGUGGCUUUCUUUUCCAAAGAAGAUAGACAAGUAGACAAUAAGGACAUUAAAAAGUAUUCAACAUCCCUAGAUAUUAAGGAAAUUAAAACUGUAACAUGUGUGUGUUAAUCAGCUUUCUGUUAUUGUAACAAAUACUUUGGAUAAUUAAUUUAUCAAGUGGAAAUGUUUAUUUUGCCUCAUAGUUUUGGAGGUUUUCAUCCAUGGUCAGUUGAUAUGUUGCUUUUGGACAUGUGCUGAGUCAGUACAUUAUGGUGGGAGUAAAUGGUAGAAAAUAACUGCUUACCUCAUAGCAGCUAGGAAGCAAAGACAGGAAAGGGGCUGGGGUUCCAGUAUCCCCUUCAAGAGCAUCCAAGUGACCAGACAUUCCCACUAGGACCCACCUCUUAAAGAUUCCACAAUCUCCCAGUAGCACCACAGGCUGGGGACCAAGUCUUAACACACAGACCUUUGGGGACAUUUUAUCAAAACCACUUCACAUCCAUUAAGAUGAGUUUAUUUUUUUAAAAAAGGAAAUAUUGGUGAAGAUGAGAAAUAGGAACUCACGUAAAUUGCUGGUGGGGAUAUAAAAUGAUUGAAGCCACUUUGGAAAAAGUUUAGUGGGUCCUCAAAAAGUUAAAACAUAGAAUAUCCAUAUGAUCAAGUAAUUCAGCUCAUAAGUAUAUACCCAAAUAACCAUAUGACCCGAUAUUCCACUCCUAAGUAUAUAUACAAAAGAAAAGGAGUAUGUCUACACAGAAACCUGUACACCGAAAGAAACUGAAUAUCCAUUAUGAUAGAUAAACACAUUGUUAUAUGAUGCAAUGAAAUGUUACUCAGCUAUAAAAAGGAACAUAAUACUUAAACUACAGUUUAGAUGAACCUUGAGAUUAUACUAAAUAAAAGAAGCCACACACAAAAGGUCACAUAUUCUAUGGCUCCAUUUAAUAUUUAUCCAGACUAGGCAUGUUCACAGACAGAUUAGAGGUUACUUAGGAGUUGGGGUGGGGACUGGGGAGUGGCAUCUCUAACUGGGUUUCAGGUAUUUUUAUGAAGUGAUAAACUUCUCUCUCUCUCUCUCUCUCUCUCUCUCUCUCUCUCUCUCUCUCUCUCUCUCUCUCUCCCUCUCUCCCUCUCCCUCUCCCUCUCCCUCUCCCUCUCCCUCUCCCUCCCUCUCCCUCUCUCUCUCUUUUUUCUUUUUAGGGUGGGGGGUACCAGGAAUCGAACUCAGGGCCUUGUGCUUGCCAGGCAGGUGUAGCACCACCGAGCUACAACCCUGGCUCCUAUGAAGUGAUAAACUUUUGAAAUAAAAGUUGGUGGUUGUACAACAUUGCAAAUACAC